GACCGGAAGGGCUGGAGCCAGGAUCCACCCCUUCCCAGACCUCAUUUAAGGGUUGGCAGUGGAGGUGAGAGUUUCUCACCGGAAAUUCUUGUCUAUGUAAGGUCUUUUGAGGAUGGGGAAUGAUUUUCAGAAGUAAUCUGUGCAGAAAUUGUUAUUUACUACUGAGUUGCCUGGUACUACUGCCUCGACUCUGUCCUUCAUAAGAUUAAGCUCUCUUACUUCACUGAACAGCAGCAGAAAUUGCAUUUACAACCAUGACUGGUCUGAAGUGCGUUAAUACUACUGAAAGUCAGACGGAGAACUGAUGCCCUCAAAAUCACAACCUGGCACUGGGCUCAUGUGUUAGAAAAUGCAGAGCUCUAUGGUUAUAGCCACAUUCUCCACCCAUGGGAAAUGCUACUUCAAGUUUUUUAAAAAUGUAAUUUUUUUUUUUCCUUUCCUUCACUGUCUCUUUUUCUGGAUGAACCCUACUACACUAGUGUUUGUAAUUCAAACUUCAAUGAGUUGCCCUGUUUUAAGUCUUUUUACAUGAAUGGAGCUCUUUCGUGAAUGAAAGUAGAAGUUGGCCUUGAAAAAGGUAGUGUAUGUCUUAGGGAGGGCAGAAACAACUCUUUGAUGUUCAGAGCAGGCUGAGCUAUAUAGUUUUGGGUUGGUUUUUUUUGAGUUUCUUUCUGAUAACCUGUGAAAAUUGUAUUAAUUUGAGGUUUCUAGUCCUUCAUCUUGUUAAUGCUACCCUUAUGUGCUGGAUGACUCUGCUGGUCAAAGACUCCCUUCUUUCAUUGACAACUUUUGUCCCAUUAAUAGAGCAGGAACCUUACCUAUCAGGCCUCAGCCCUCUUUCAAGGAUUGCAUACUUGAAACCAUACCCAGUAAAUCAGUUGAUUAUGCUCAUAGGUCUGUUGUAGUAGGUGUUUGACAGGGAUACGUGAUGUACGGGACAGGCCUCUCCCUAAGCACAGUGAGAGGGUGCUAUCAUGUUCUGACAGACUGACCUUGCUGUCAAAUAAACAAGAUAAGAAGAACGCAAAGGAAUGAGGAGACAAUAGGAGCCAAUAAGGAAAAGGGUUAAUAUCCAGUGUGAGCAAAUCAGAGUAAGAUACGAUGGUACGAUUGUUUAAGUAAAAGUAUAUAAGCUGUGCAUAGUAGUGAAUGAAACGCCAUUUUACUGCUCAUCAUAUUGGUGCACAUUUGCAGUCAUUUGGCCCUGACCAGGUAAUUGGUCAGUGUGCACUAGGGCUAACACAGGAGGCUAACAUCACAGUUGCAGAAGGCAACAUAUGUCUAUUUCAAUAUUUUCUUCACAAAUAGAUAUUUUCCUCUACUGCACAUAAGUAAAAAAAUCGAUAGGUAUUUGUAAUAUACAUUGAUUUUUAAUACAGAGCUUCCUCAAGGGAAUACAUUAUACUUCGUGUUCUUCAAAGACUGUACAUAAUGACAACAUAUUUGUAUUAAUUACAUUUUACCGCUGAAAUGCUCAAUUUUACUUACUCUUAAAAAAAGUAAGAUAUACCUCUAUGUCAUAG
ensembl:lncRNA